GCGGAGCCUAAGGCUGAACGCGCUCCCGUGACCGCCGCGGACAGAGGAAGGCUCUCCGGUCUGUUUUCUCUCCCUGUCUUCAGAUGGAUUUUAAAAUUGAACAUACUUGGGAUGGUUUUCCAGUGAAGCAUGAGCCAGUGUUUGUCAGGCUCAAUCCAAGUGACAGAGGAGUGAUGAUGGAAGUUAGUGCUCCAUUUUUCAAUGAUCCUCCAGCCCCACUUGGAGAACCAGGGAAGCCUUUCGAUGAACUAUGGGAUUAUGAAGUUGUGGAAGCGUUUUUCUUGAAUGAUAUAACUGAGCAGUAUUUAGAAGUUGAACUUUGUCCCCAUGGACAGCAUUUAGUGCUUUUACUCUCUGGAAGAAGAAAUGUAUGGAAACAAGAACUUGCCUUAUCCUUCAGAGUGUCCAGAGGAGAGACAAAAUGGGAAGGCAAAGCUUACCUUCCUUGGAGUUAUUUUCCACCCAGUGUGACAAAAUUCAAUUCAUUUGCAAUUCAUGGAUCAAAAGAUAAACGAAGUUAUGAAGCUCUUUACCCUGUACCUCAGCAUGAACUGCAACAAGGACAAAAACCUGAUUUGUAAGUAGAAAAUGAAUGAAGAGAUGUUCCAACUAUAAAAGUUUUUUGGAAAUUAAUUCUUGGUAGGGAAGUUGCCAAAGAAGAUGAGGUAUGUGUCCCAGAACCUGAUAGAGUCCUAUGUUCCCUAAUGGUCCUUAGAAAAUACUUGAUAGAUUAACUUUGGACUGACAUAAUCUCUCUCACUAGUGCCAUUAGAGCACUUAUUUUUCUAGAGUGGUAUGAGAAAAGUCUUGUUUAGUGAGUGUUAAAAUAGCUAAUACAGAAGUAUGGUUGCGAAUUCAUUUAUAAUCCCUUUCAGAGCUAAAUGGCCAGAGGUAUCAGUGUUUCCUGGUGUGAACAAAGGGUUAAUAAAUCCUUUCUCCCUGUUGCAAGAGAAGCUGAUCUUCAGUUAUCUCUUUAGUUCUCUUCUCCUGGUAACCUCAUAAGAAUAAAAAUGUCAACCAUGUUUGUAGGCAACAUUGCUUAUGAUGAAAAUGAUUCCUCAUUGGUUUACAUCUGGACUGAGAGUAAUUUUGAGUGAAGUAUAAAUACAUGAUGGAGACAGCAUGAUUUUGGGAUUCCCCUUUAUAGUCAUGUUCCCUGUGGGGACCCUGGAAGCUAUGCCUGUAGAAUUAUUAUAAGAAAUAUUGGUUCCUAUGGGGCAGCAGGUGUUUAAGGCAAGAUUUCUCAUAUACUUUCCCAAUUUGAGUCUUGUUUCUUUGCACUUGAAGCUGUCACCUAGGGAGAAUAGAGCUCCUGGCCAGCCUUAGGAGUGCUAUGGACUGCUGCAAGGACUACUCCCUUGGGGAGGAAAGCCAGAUGCUGUCCUGGGGCAAACUAUGAAUUCCUGCUCUAAAUCUCUGUUUCAGAUGCCACUGCACUACUAAUUCCCCAGUGCUCUUGAGGUGCGUGUUAGACGUCUUCCUCUGUUGGAAGUCCCUGUGGCAACUUCAGGGGCUUGAUUCUUAUCAAAUGUUUAACCACUUUCAGUUUUGCAUUCACUGAAGGGAUGUUCUUGUGAACUUGAGGGGCAUGUGCUUUUUUGUAAUCCAAGCAUCUUUAUUAUAUCUUUUUCCCAAUAUGGACGUCUUUUUGUACUUUUUAUUCUGGUA